AACGAACGCUGGCGGCAUGCCUAACACAUGCAAGUCGAACGAUACCUUCGGGUCUAGUGGCGCACGGGUGCGUAACGCGUGGGAAUCUUCCCUUGGGUUCGGAAUAACAGUUAGAAAUUUCUGCUAAUACCGGUUGAUUUCUUCUGACCAAAGAUUUAUCGCCCAGGGAUGAGCCCGCGUAGGAUUAGCUAGUUGGUGGGGUAAUGGCCUACCAAGGCUACGAUCCUUAGCUGGUCUGAGAGGAUGAUCAGCCACACUGGGACUGAGACACGGCACAGAAUAGGACGGGAGGGAGCAGAGGGGAAUAUAGGAAAAUGGGAGCAAGAAUGAAAAAGCAAGGACGGGUGAGUGAUGAAGGCAUUAGGGUAGUAAAGAUAUUUUAACCGGGAUGAUAAUGACAGUAACGGGAGAAUAAGCUCCGGCUAACUCCGUG
rnacentral:rRNA from 1 species